CCUACGGGUGGCAGCAGUGAGGAAUAUUGGGCAAUGGGGGCAACCCUGUCCCAGCCAUGCCGCGUGAGUGAAGAAGGUCUUCGGAUUGUAAAGCUCUUUCGGACGUGACGAUGAUUACGGUAGCGUCUAAAGAAGCACCGGCAAACUUCGUGCCAGCAGCCGCGGUAAUACGGAGGGUGCGAGCGUUGUUCGGAAUUACUGGGCGUAAAGGGAGUGUAGGCGGAUAUGUAAGAUAGCGGUGAAAUGCCGGGGCCCAACCCCGGAACUGCCAUUAUGACUGUGUAUCUAGAGUAAUGGAGGGGAUAGUGGAAUACGCGGUGUAGAGGUGAAAUGCGUAGAUAUUAGGUAGAACACCGAUUGCGAAGGCAGCUAUCUGGCCAUUUACUGACGCUGAGGCUCGAAAGCAUGGGUAUCAAACAGGAUUAGAUACCCGUGUAGUC
rnacentral:rRNA from 1 species